UGCAAGUCGAACGAAGGCUUCGGCCUUAGUGGCGCACGGGUGCGUAACGCGUGGGAAUCUACCCUUAGGUUCGGAAUAACAGUUGGAAACGACUGCUAAUACCGGAUGAUGACGUAAGUCCAAAGAUUUAUCGCCUAGGGAUGGGCCCGCGGCCUAUCAGCUUGUUGGUGGGGUAAUGGCCUACCAAGGCGACGACGGGUAGCCGACCUGAGAGGGUGAUCGGCCACACUGGGACUGAGACACGGCCCAGACUCCUACGGGAGGCAGCAGUGGGGAAUAUUGCACAAUGGGCGCAAGCCUGAUGCAGCGACGCCGCGUGAGGGAUGACGGCCUUCGGGUUGUAAACCUCUUUCAGUAGGGACGAAGCUUCGGUGACGGUACCUGCAGAAGAAGCACCGGCCAACUACGUGCCAGCAGCCGCGGUAAUACGUAGGGUGCGAGUGUUGUCCGGAAUUACUGGGCGUAAAGAGCUCGUAGGCGGUUUGUCGCGUCGUCUGUGAAAUUCUGCAACUCAAUUGCAGGCGUGCAGGCGAUACGGGCAGACUUGAGUACUACAGGGGAGACUGGAAUUCCUGGUGUAGCGGUGAAAUGCGCAGAUAUCAGGAGGAACACCGGUGGCGAAGGCGGGUCUCUGGGUAGUAACUGACGCUGAGGAGCGAAAGCGUGGGUAGCGAACAGGAUUAGAUACCCUGGUAGUCCACGCCGUAAACGGUGGGUACUAGGUGUGGGUUCCAUUUCACGGGAUCCGUGCCGUAGCUAACGCAUUAAGUA
rnacentral:rRNA from 1 species